CCUACGGGUGGCAGCAGUGAGGAAUAUUGGUCAAUGGCCGGGAGGCUGAACCAGCCAAGUCGCGUGAGGGAAGACGGCCCUACGGGUUGUAAACCCCUUUUGCCAGGGAGCAAGGUGCAGGUCGGGACUUGCUGUCAGCGGAUCUCAAGAAAAAGCAUCGGCUAACGCCGCUCCAGCAGCCGCGGUAAUACGGAGGAUGAGAGCGUAAUCCGGAUUUAUUGGGUUUAAAGGGUGUGCAGGCGGAGGCACAAGUCAGCGGUAAAAUCGCGGGGCUAAACCCCGCCCCGCCGUUGAAACUGUGUCGCUUGAGUGCGCGAAGGGUAGGCGGAAUGCGUGGUGUAGCGGUGAAAUGCAUAGAUAUCACGCAGAACUCCGAUCGCGAAGGCAGCCUACCGGCGCGCAACUGACGCUCAUGCACGAAAGCGUGGGUAUCGAACAGGAUUAGAUACCCUUGUAGUC
rnacentral:rRNA from 1 species